rnacentral:rRNA from 2 species
GUGCCUAAUACAUGCAAGUCGCGCGAAUUUCUAUGGAGCUUGCUCCAAAGAAGUUAGCGGCGGACGGGUGAGUAACACGUGGGCAAUCUGCCCGUAAGACUGGGAUAACUCCGGGAAACCGGGGCUAAUACCGGAUAAUCCCGACUCUCUCCUGAGAGUCGGUUGAAAGAUGGUUUCGGCUAUCACUUACGGAUGAGCCCGCGGCGCAUUAGCUAGUUGGUGAGGUAACGGCUCACCAAGGCGACGAUGCGUAGCCGACCUGAGAGGGUGAUCGGCCACACUGGGACUGAGACAGCGCCCAGACUCCUACGGGAGGCAGCAGUAGGGAAUCUUCCGCAAUGGACGAAAGUCUGACGGAGCAACGCCGCGUGAGUGAAGAAGGUUUUCGGAUCGUAAAACUCUGUUGUUAGGGAAGAACACGUACGAGAGUAACUGCUCGUACCUUGACGUC